rnacentral:rRNA from 1 species
UGAGGAAUAUUGGUCAAUGGGCGAGAGCCUGAACCAGCCAAGUAGCGUGCAGGAAGACGGCCCUAUGGGUUGUAAACUGCUUUUAUGCGGGGAUAAAGUGAGGGACGUGUCCUUCAUUGCAGGUACCGCAUGAAUAAGGACCGGCUAAUUCCGUGCCAGCAGCCGCGGUAAUACGGAAGGUCCUGGCGUUAUCCGGAUUUAUUGGGUUUAAAGGGAGCGUAGGCCGUGGAUUAAGCGUGUUGUGAAAUGCAGGUGCUCAACGUCUGCACUGCAGCGCGAACUGGUCCACUUGAGUGUGCGCAACGCAGGCGGAAUUCGUCGUGUAGCGGUGAAAUGCUUAGAUAUGACGAAGAACUCCGAUUGCGAAGGCAGCUUGCGGGAGCACAACUGACGCUGAAGCUCGAAAGUGCGGGUAUCGAACAGGAUUAGAUACCCUGGUAGUCCGCACGGUAAACGAUGGAUGCCCGUUGUCAGGCUGUUUCAGCCUGGUGACCAAGCGAAAGCAUUAAGCAUCCCACCUGGGGAGUACGCCGGCAACGGUG